GACGAACGCUGGCGGCGUGCUUAACACAUGCAAGUCGAACGGAGCUAUUUAUUUCGGUAGAUAGCUUAGUGGCAAACGGGUGAGUAACGCGUAGGCAACCUGCCCUCAGGAUGGGGACAACGGCUCGAAGGAGCCGCUAAUACCGAAUGAGGUAACUUUUUCACAUGGAAGAGAUACUAAAGAUGGGUCAAACCAUCGCCUGAGGAUGGGCCUGCGUCUGAUUAGCCAGUUGGUGAGGUAACGGCUCACCAAAGCGACGAUCAGUAGCCGGUCUGAGAGGAUGAACGGCCACAAUGGGACUGAGACACGGCCCAUACUCCUACGGGAGGCAGCAGUGGGGAAUCUUCCGCAAUGGGCGAAAGCCUGACGGAGCAACGCCGCGUGAGUGAAGAAGGUCUUAGGAUCGUAAAGCUCUGUUGUCGGGGACGAAAGAGUAGACGAGGAAAUGCGUCUACUAAGACGUACCUGACGAGGAGCCACGCA
rnacentral:rRNA from 1 species